UACGUAGGGUGCGAGCGUUGUCCGGAAUUAUUGGGCGUAAAGAGCUUGUAGGCGGUUUGUCGCGUCUGCCGUGAAAUCUCGAGGCUCAACCUCGAACUUGCGGUGGGUACGGGCAGACUAGAGUGUGGUAGGGGAGACUGGAAUUCCUGGUGUAGCGGUGAAAUGCGCAGAUAUCAGGAGGAACACCGAUGGCGAAGGCAGGUCUCUGGGCCGUAACUGACGCUGAGGAGCGAAAGCAUGGGGAGCGAACAGG
rnacentral:rRNA from 1 species